UUACCCCCCUCCAAAAAAGAAGAUAUUUAAAGAAAUGUUCUUUUUGUAAAAUGUGGAACAAUUUAAGAGACAUCCAUACACUUAAACACAAGUUAUUGUCUGAAAACUAGAAAAAUGCUUGUUUUAGACCCUUUUUGGCCCCUAAUUCCUGAAUGGUUUGAGCAAUAACCCCCAUAAAGAAUCCCAACCUUCUACUUGUGGUAUUGAAUUCGAACCUUGUGGUACAAUUUCAGAGCAAUCAAAAUACUUAUACACAAGUUAUUGUCCUGAAACUAGAAAAAUGCUUGUUUUGGGCCCUUUUUGGCCCCUAAUUCCUAAACGGUUGGGACCAUCACCCCCAAAAACAAUCCCAACCUUCCUUUUGUGGUAUUGAACCUUUUGUUUAAAUUUCAUAGAGAUCCAUAAACUUAAACUAAAGUUAUUGUCCUGAAACAAAAUGUCUUCGGACCACGACGAAGUGAUAGCAAUAUACGACCGCAUGAUUCUAUACAUAUAUAUUUUCUUUUCUGGUUAAGAGUUCACACCUUACUUUUCUCAAUUUUUAAAAGUUCUUGAUUAAUUAAACGUCAUCGAAAAAAAAAAAUAUGAUGAUUAAUAUUUAACUUUAUCUUAUAUAUAACAUGCACAUUAUUCUUCAAGGAAGAAUCUAGAUGAAUGCAUUUAUUUGAACAUUACAUUGAAGAUAUACGACAAUGGUUGUCCUCUGAUCAUCUUAUUCAAGAUAAGAUUCUGGACUUGAAAUAUCAACCAAUCAAUUCAUCUUUCUACAAAAGAUUGUAUCUGUGUCACAAGAGGAUAGGAUCAGGACAAAAACAUAGUGGCACUUAUAAACAUUAAGGCAUGGCUGGAAAACAGUAGUUUUUAUUUAUCAAACAAACUUCUACAUCAUAUGGUCUCUUGGAGAUAGUUGUUUCAUUGGCAAUCAUACCACAUCUUUAUUCUUAUAUUGUAGAAAUCUUCAAAUCUAGCAUGAUAGGAGAGGACUGCUGGAGACAUUAUUUAACACACUUGGGAAAUCAACUUUUUCAGUAUGAAGAGAAAAAAAAAUAUCGGUUAUGAUAAAAUUUACCUGUUACAUGAGUGAUACAUGAAUAUUUUAAUCUGAUUUAAUCAAUUAUACAAACAAGUCAAAACUUGUACUAGCAGAUACCAUCAAUAUAUUAUUGGGCGUAAAGCAUAUUCAAACUUUUAUUUUUAUACAAACAGUAUUGAUUAAUAUUUCAUUAACUCAUAUUUAGAGUCUGAAAUUCAUUAUAAACCAGCAUAUUAAUUUGUCAUUUGCAUAAUUUGUAGUAAACAUGAUCUAAGGGCAAUAACUCUAGAUUUUUUUCUCUAAAAAUAUCCUUGUUGUAUAACAUACAAUGUAUUAGUACAUUAUAGUUCUAGUCUGAUUAACAGUUAAAUAAAUUUAAACAACUUA